rnacentral:rRNA from 1 species
AUUGAACGCUGGCGGCAUGCCUUACACAUGCAAGUCGAACGGCAGCACGGGUGCUUGCACCUGGUGGCGAGUGGCGAACGGGUGAGUAAUACAUCGGAACGUACCUUAUCGUGGGGGAUAACGCAGCGAAAGCUGUGCUAAUACCGCAUACGCCCUGAGGGGGAAAGCGGGGGAUCGCAAGACCUCGCGCGAUUAGAGCGGCCGAUGCCUGAUUAGCUUGUUGGUGGGGUAAAAGCCCACCAAGGCGACGAUCAGUAGCUGGUCUGAGAGGACGAUCAGCCACACUGGGACUGAGACACGGCCCAGACUCCUACGGGAGGCAGCAGUGGGGAAUUUUGGACAAUGGGGGCAACCCUGAUCCAGCAAUGCCGCGUGAGUGAAGAAGGCCUUCGGGUUGUAAAGCUCUUUUGUCAGGGAAGAAACACCGGCUCUAACACAGUCUGGGAAUGACGGUACCUGAAGAAUAAGCACCAGCUAACUACGUGCCAGCAGCCGCGGUAA